CGGGGAAUAUUGCGCAAUGGGCGAAAGCCUGACGCAGCGACACCGCGUGGAGGAUGACGGCUUUCGAGUUGUAAACUCCUUUUCUCAGGGAAGAGAACGGACGGUACCUGAGGAAUAAGCAUCGGCUAACUACGUGCCAGCAGCCGCGGUAAUACGUAGGAUGCGAGCGUUGUCCGGAUUUACUGGGCGUAAAGGACGAGUAGGCGGCCCACCAAGUCUCAUGUGAAAUCUCCUGGCUUAACUGGGAGCGGUCAUGGGAAACUGGUAGGCUUGAGGUCAGCAGAGGAAAGCGGAAUUCCCGGAGUAGCGGUGGAAUGCGUAGAUACCGGGAGGAACACCAGAGGCGAAGGCGGCUUUCUGGGCUGCACCUGACGCUGAGGCGUGAAAGCAUGGGGAGCGAACCGG
rnacentral:rRNA from 1 species